AGUGAACGCUGGCGGUAGGCCUAAUACAUGCAAGUCGAACGGCAGCACAGUAAGAGCUUGCUCUUACGGGUGGCGAGUGGCGGACGGGUGAGGAAUACAUCGGAAUCUACUUUUUCGUGGGGGAUAACGUAGGGAAACUUACGCUAAUACCGCAUACGACCUACGGGUGAAAGCAGGGGAUCUUCGGACCUUGCGCGACUGAAUGAGCCGAUGUCGGAUUAGCUAGUUGGCGGGGUAAAGGCCCACCAAGGCGACGAUCCGUAGCUGGUCUGAGAGGAUGAUCAGCCACACUGGAACUGAGACACGGUCCAGACUCCUACGGGAGGCAGCAGUGGGGAAUAUUGGACAAUGGGCGCAAGCCUGAUCCAGCCAUACCGCGUGGGUGAAGAAGGCCUUCGGGUUGUAAAGCCCUUUUGUUGGGAAAGAAAAGCAGCAGGUUAAUACCCCGCUGUUCUGACGGUACCCAAAGAAUAAGCACCGGCUAACUUCGUG
rnacentral:rRNA from 1 species